UUAUUUGUGAAGAGAUCUAAGUCACAAAAAUGACUUUUUGAGAAAAUCGAAAAAAAGUGUUUAUAUUUUUAACUUAAUAAAAAUAUAUAUAUUUUUUUUGGGGCAUAGUUACAAUUCGUAUAAUGUGUACUAUUUCUACUUAUUUACAAUUUUUUUUUAAAGCAAAUAUUGUUUUAUUUAUAAUAUUGUUGAUCUGACUUAUAUCCUUUCACGAAUUAAUUUAAAAACUUCAAUAAAAUCAUUCGUUUUGUAAAUUAUAUUACUAAAUUUAUAAUAAAAAACAACAUCAUUGAUAAACUUUAUUCUCAAAUAUAUAGAACUAAACAUAUUGAACAUUUUUGAUGAAACAAAAAAUCACAUUUCAAUGAUCUAUAAGACAAAACUUUUAUUAUUCAUGCUCAGCUUCCGCAUCAGUGGUUGGCCAGCCCAGUAUUUUCUCAUAAAAGUCCAUAAAGUUUUCAGGAAUAUAACCAGUUACUUUCCUGAUAUCAUUAAUUUUUUUUAUAUUAAUUGGAAUUUUUUCCCCCGGAUAAGCUCUUUCAUUAGCCAGUUGAACAAUUCCAGCAUCAGGAAUUUUUAACAAAAAAGAACUCUUUUGUACUCCAUCAAUAUACUUUAAGGCUUCAACAGUUCCUUUCCUUUCAUGAUUGUAGCGAAACUCCAUAAAAGUGGAAACUGCGAAUGACUCUUUUUUUGAACGUGGAAUAGACCUAGCACUGCUCUCCAAGGAAAAGCAAGUUUUUUUAUAGUACUUGGACCACCAGUUUUUAAAAUUUAACACAUCAUCAGUAUCGACCAUUUCGACAGUAAAUUUUUGCCCCUUUGCAGCAUUGCAAAUUACUUCACACACUUCCAUGGGUGUAUACAGCCUGUCUAUGCGAUUUAGUUUGCGUUUGACUAAACCAAAGUCACGAUCGCACGGCAAAAAUGAAUGGCCGCGAAUCGGAAAUUUGUGAACAACUUUUUCAAACAUUCCACUGUCAGUAAGAGCAAGACAAAAGCGAACUGAGCACUUCCAUUUUUUAGAUUGUGAAUACCAAAAGGAAAUAAAGAAAGCUGACGUAAGUAAAAAAUAUCCUGUACGGGAAUAGACGGCAACGAAAUAUUCUGCAUAUAAUCAAAACAUAGUCCGAGAACUCUAUCAUUUUCUUUGCACAUUUUUUCUGUAUUUUGUAUGCUAGUAUUAAAUUUUUUAGAACGUCUUUUGUGCACCAUAAGUUCAGCUAAAGCAGCUCUUUUCGCUGUUUCAUUUAAAGAGGAACUUGUGGAUUUAAUUUCAAGUUCCUCGCAUUGACAACACGUAUCUACUUGCGGUCGUCCAAAUUUAUAAUCAAAAUGCUCUUUAAAAAUUUUGUAAUAUGUCGAAUAUUUCACAUCAAUUUCUGUAUGCUUUUCUUUGAAUAAGCUAUGCAGCUUCUUGACAUUUAACUUUGCAUCCAGAUAUAGAUAUUCUUUGGAUGCAUAGUGACUAUGUUUAACAGGAAAUGUUGAAAUGUGUUCACAGACUAUCUGAAUAAUAUUACCUGGAACAGUUUUUCGAUUAUUUUGUAGGCCUCUUAAAUCUCUCGGGGAUUUUCCAAGAUUCAAAAGAAGUUGCAACCGUUGUACUAACUUAGAACUUAUGCCAUGCAAGCUUAAAAAUGCUUUUUUGCAAACCUUUCGUCUCUCUGUGUUAACCAAUACAAAAUAUUCAAAAGAUGAACUUCUUUGUUUUGCUUCUUCUUUCCGUGGCCGCCUGUUCUUGAUAUUGUUUGACACCAAUAGUCCUUGCAGGUAAAUAUCUUGUUCGUUUUUGGUUGAAAAAGAACGAAACUUAUUCAUUAUGUGAAUUUGUUCUGCUGGAGUUAGUUUUUCAAAACAUUUUAGCUUGCACCUGCAAGAAUUCAUUCCCAUUAAAAAACUUCUUAAAAAACUUAAAAUUUUGUUAAACUUACAUGCAUGGCUCGCCAACAGCUUUUCCUGGAACCAUGUUAUCUCGAUAGUUUCUAUACGGUUGUCCCAGCAAUCGACUUUUCUUAAUUCUCACAGCUUUAUAUUCAUCUGUGUUUUUAACUCCCUUUUUUCUCUUUUUUUCAAUAUGCUCACUAUCACUCAUAUUAUUUAGUAUAUUAAAAAAGAAACCAAAUAGAAAAACUGAAAUAUUUAGUCCGAACACGUUGGCUAACAAAACAAUAAUAAACAACUUUUCGUAAUGGCCACGUGCAUACCGAUGCGGCGCGACUGCCGCCAGUCCGUGUAAAUUUAUGAAAUGAUUUAAGUCACUGACUCAUACCCUUUCAAAAAUAAAUAUAAUAUUGUGAUGCCUUUUUUUUUGCUACGGGUAGUACAGACUUAGAUCCUUUCAAGACUAAACGGUAGAUAUACGUGCUAUAAAUAAGAUUUUAUAGUAAUCUUGAUUUUCGUCAAGUAGUGACUUAUACCCUUUCAUAAAUAAGCAAUUCAUAUAAGGAAGAUAAUAUUAUCAGUAGCCAGACUUUAUUAAAAAAAUCAGCUCUACCUCAAAGGUAGUUUUUUUUUAAAUAUAUUUUUCUAGUAUAAAAAAAUCGUCACAAAAAGUAUUAGUGUUACUCAUAUAAGCUUUAUUUAUACCUAACACUUAUUAAAUUAGGUAUGUGUGUAAAACUAUUUUUUUACCAGGAUCUCUGAUGCACUAGUUAAAAACACAGCAGCCGAUAAUUCAGUUAAUUUACCAAGUGAUUUACCCUUUAAAGCUGCAGGGGUAGUUUUCCUGAAGAGUGCAAAAACUUCUUUAGCUUCCAAAAUGGUAUAUAGUACAAACAGUGAAGCUAAUAUAGACAAAUCUGAUCAUUCAUCAUCAACAAUAACUGCAUCUGAGAUUAAUAGUUACCGUGGGGUCUAGGUCAACAAUUACUAUUUCUCAUCCAAGCCGUUUUUGUUUGACUGCUACACAUUCCCUGACUCUGCCAAGGAAAAGGGUAAAAUCAAAAUGAUAUCCUGAGGACCUAAGCACUGAUGAUUCCACCGUUUCAAAAGCUAAAUCACUUGUCACCAAAUUAUGGAAAAAAAUAAAGAACAAAAAAUUAAAAUUCAAAGAUUGCAACAAACAAAUUUGCG